CAGCAUCAAUGUCCAAUUUGGUUGUUUGGGCUGGCACUACUUCUCCAUUCUAAAAGUUUUGAGUUUUGAAGAUGAAAAAAUUUAAUGUUUAAGAAAUAAGUAAUGCCUGCAACUAACCUUUAAAAAGAUGCGGCGUAAAUCUUGGGUCUUGACAACAUUUUAGCUUACGGCAGUGAACCUGUUAUUUACGUCUUGCAAUUAGUGAUCUUAAUGGCCCCAUUUGACAUAAGAUUGCGAGUUUUGAUAUGCUUAUCAGGAUUAAUGCUUAUAGUGUUGGUAUUAACCAAUACUGAAUAUAUAAUUUGAUAAUAUGUGCUACCACCAAAACUUGGUGUGAUAUAUGUUUGAUUUCCAGAUGCGUAAUUUUUUUUUCUAGUGUCCUUUUGUUCCUGCUUUUAUGGCAUCAUGCAUUUUGUCAUUGAAAUGUGCAGGAAGUCAGCUCCAAGCUGUUGGAGAAGGUUGUU
rnacentral:misc_RNA from 1 species